UACGUAGGUGACAAGCGUUGUCCGGAUUUACUGGGCGUAAAGAGCGCGCAGGCGGUCGUUCAAGUCGAGUGUGAAAGCCCCCGGCUCAACUGGGGAGGGUCAUUCGAUACUGAUCGACUCGAAGGCAGGAGAGGGAAGUGGAAUUCCCGGUGUAGCGGUGAAAUGCGCAGAUAUCGGGAGGAACACCAAUGGCGAAGGCAGCUCGCUGGGACGGUACUGACGCUGAGGCGCGAAAGCGUGGGGAGCAAACAGG
rnacentral:rRNA from 1 species